UUGGAGGGCAAGUCUGGUGCCAGCAGCCGCGGUAAUUCCAGCUCCAAUAGCGUAUAUUAAAGUUGCUGCAGUUAAAAAGCUCGUAGUUGAAUUUCGGGACCAUCAUGUCGGUCGUGCCUCGGUACGUACUGGUAUUGUUGGUUUCUCCUUUCUGACGAACCAUGAUGUCAUUUAUUUGGUGUUGUGGGGAAUCAGGACUGUUACUUUGAAAAAAUUAGAGUGUUUAAAGCAGGCUCACGCUUGAAUACAUUAGCAUGGAAUAAUGAAAUAGGACGUUUGAUUCUAUUUUGUUGGUUUCUAGGAUCGACGUAAUGAUUAAUAGGGAUAGUUGGGGGCAUUAGUAUUCAAUUGUCAGAGGUGAAAUUCUUGGAUUUAUUGAAGACUAACUACUGCGAAAGCAUUUGCCAAGGAUGUUUUCAUUAAUCAAGAACGAAAGUUAGGGGAUCGAAGACGAUCAGAUACCGUCGUAGUCUUAACCAUAAACUAUGCCGACUAGGGAUCGGAUGAUGUUAAUUUUUUAAUGACUCAUUCGGCGCCUUACAGGAAAC
rnacentral:rRNA from 1 species